GAUGAACGCUGGCGGCGUGCCUAAUACAUGCAAGUCGAGCGAACAGACGAGGAGCUUGCUCCUCUGACGUUAGCGGCGGACGGGUGAGUAACACGUGGAUAACCUACCUAUAAGACUGGGAUAACUUCGGGAAACCGGAGCUAAUACCGGAUAACAUGUUGAACCGCAUGGUUCAACAGUGAAAGACGGUCUUGCUGUCACUUAUAGAUGGAUCCGCGCCGCAUUAGCUAGUUGGUAAGGUAACGGCUUACCAAGGCAACGAUGCGUAGCCGACCUGAGAGGGUGAUCGGCCACACUGGAACUGAGACACGGUCCAGACUCCUACGGGAGGCAGCAGUAGGGAAUCUUCCGCAAUGGGCGAAAGCCUGACGGAGCAACGCCGCGUGAGUGAAGAAGGUCUCGGAUCGUAAAACUCUGUUAUUAGGGAAGAACAAAUGUGUAAGUAACUAUGCACGUCUUGACGGUACCUAAUCAGAAAGCCACGGCUAACUACGUG
rnacentral:rRNA from 1 species